rnacentral:rRNA from 1 species
AGAUUGAACGCUGGCGGAAUGCUUUACACAUGCAAGUCGAACGGCAGCACGGGGCGAACCUGGUGGCGAGUGGCGAACGGGUGAGUAAUACGAUCGGAACGUAGCCCAAUCGUGGGGGAUAACGUAGCGAAAGUUACGCUAAUACCGCAUACGAUCUACGGAUGAAAGCGGGGGAUCGCAAGACCUCGCGCGAAUGGAGCGGCCGAUGUCAGAUUAGGUAGUUGGUGGGGUAAAGGCUCACCAAGCCAACGAUCUGUAGCUGGUCUGAGAGGACGACCAGCCACACUGGAACUGAGACACGGUCCAGACUCCUACGGGAGGCAGCAGUGGGGAAUUUUGGACAAUGGGCGCAAGCCUGAUCCAGCCAUUCCGCGUGCAGGAUGAAGGCCUUCGGGUUGUAAACUGCUUUUGUACGGAACGAAACGGUCUGCCCUAAUACGGCGGGCUAAUGACGGUACCGUAAGAAUAAGCACCGGCUAACUACGUG